rnacentral:rRNA from 1 species
UACGGGGGGGGCAAGCGUUGUUCGGAAUUACUGGGCGUAAAGGGCGCGUAGGCGGCCUUCUAAGUCGGACGUGAAAUCCCUCGGCUUAACCGAGGAACUGCGUCCGAUACUGAAAGGCUUGAAUCCGGGAGAGGGAUGUGGAAUUCCAGGUGUAGCGGUGAAAUGCGUAGAUAUUGGGAGGAACACCAGUGGCGAAGGCGGCUCACUGGACCGGUACUGACGCUGAAGCGCGAAAGCGUGGGGAGCAAACGGG